UGAGCUCCCACACCCAGCCUUGUUUUAACCUUCUUUUAGUCUCCGCCUUGACAUAAGGCCAGGAGUGGUGGCUUCUAGUACUCUCUCCUUUUCCCUGUCAUAGAGACUACGGAUUCCUAAAAGUGGACAGCAGUGCCCUGCUGAACCCAGUUACUGGUUACUGGCUGCCCUCCAGACAGGGGCCAGAUGAAAAAUCAAUGUGUGCCAUUGUCAGAAUAUGUUUUAAAGAAAUCUGACUUGAGGCAUAUUAAACAGUUGGACAUAAAGGGGUAGUGUCUCAUUAUGAGCCAUUAGGAAUAGGCAAGAAAAAGCAAAACAGAAACUGCUCCACCUACCAGGUAGUGCUCCUGUUCAUAGAACAAAGUGCUGCUCACCGAAUAGUACAAAGUCAUGCAACAACUGCAUCCAGUACAUAAAUGCAGAAGCUUUUUAAAUUUACACCUUGUAUAAUUUGUUAAGGUUACAUUGCUGGGCUGGGCACCAUGGCUCAUGCCUGUAAUCUCAGCACUUUGGGAGGCUGAGGUGGGUGGAUCACUUGAGUCCAAGAAUUCAAGACAGCCUGGCCAACAUGGUGAAACCAUGUCUCUACCAAAAAAAUACAAAAAUUAG
rnacentral:lncRNA from 10 species